rnacentral:rRNA from 1 species
ACGGAAGGCAGCAGUGGGGAAUAUUGCACAAUGGGGGAAACCCUGAUGCAGCGACGCCGCGUGAGCGAAGAAGUAUUUCGGUAUGUAAAGCUCUAUCAGCAGGGAAGAAAUGACGGUACCUGACUAAGAAGCUCCGGCUAAAUACGUGCCAGCAGCCGCGGUAAUACGUAUGGAGCAAGCGUUAUCCGGAUUUACUGGGUGUAAAGGGAGCGUAGGCGGCACGGCAAGCCAGAAGUGAAAUGCCGGGGCUCAACCCCGGAACUGCUUUUGGAACUGUCGAGCUAGAUUGCAGGAGAGGUAAGUGGAAUUCCUAGUGUAGCGGUGAAAUGCGUAGAUAUUAGGAGGAACACCAGUGGCGAAGGCGGCUUACUGGACUGUAAAUGACGCUGAGGCUCGAAAGCGUGGGGAGCAAACAGGAUUAGAUACCCUGGUA